CCUACGGGGGGCAGCAGGCGCGAAAACUUUACAAUGCGGGCAACCGUGAUAAGGGAACCUCGAGUGCCUGUACAUGCAGGCUGUCUGGGUGUCUAAAACACACCCAAAGAAAGGGCCGGGCAAGACCGGUGCCAGCCGCCGCGGUAAUACCGGCGGCUCGAGUGGUGGCCACUUUUAUUGGGCUUAAAGCGUUCGUAGCUGGGUUGUUAAGUCUCUUGGGAAAUCUGGCAGCUUAACUGUCAGGCGUCUAAGAGAUACUGGCAAUCUAGGAACCGGGAGAGGUGAGGGGUACUUCGGGGG
rnacentral:rRNA from 1 species